UUAUAAAUAUAAAACAAGAGUAUAAGCUUCAUUAUUUAACAGUGUAAAUAUUAAUUUUAAACGACCAAAAUUUUAUUUCAUAGAAACAUAUUUUUUUGUUUAUAUCGUUUUUAACCGUUUCAGCUCCAAACAGCGCGAUCGCGCUGUUUAGAUUUUGUGUCGAAGAGUCCCAUGCUGACGGUAUUUUGUAUCUCAUUGUUAUCUUUUCCAUACUUUUAAUUGAACAAAACUUGAAAUAUUUAUAAACUAAUAGUACGCAUAUAUAAUAAUAUAGAUAAUAAUAAAUAUAACAAUAAAAAUCUAUAUAAUAA